ACCACCUUCGAUGCCACGCCUCCCUUUAAGACCAGCGGAGACGAGGUUGUAACUCUGGACCAAUGUGUGGAUUUUCUUCAGAAGAAUAUUUAUCUUAAUGAGAAAGGGGAAACUGAAGAAAAACACAUCCACCAUCGAUGUAAGCCGUGUGACCGCACAACCACGCCCACAACCACGGCCACAACCACGCCCAUAAACACGCCCACAAACAACCACACAGGACUGAUCACAGGUAUAGUCGUUCUGGUGGUCAUUGGGAGCAUUGUGAUCGUUGUGAUCAUCGGCUGUUGUUAAGAAAAAUGCUCUUCCCAUGUCAAACAAAGUCAUCUGACUGUACUUCUCACUGCACACAAGUUUUCUAAUGGAUUCUUCUGUGGCUGAAGAAACUAAAUGUAUAUAAUGGAUAAAAUAAAAUGUAUUUAAUUUAUCAGAGAUGAACAGUAAUGCAGCUCGUUAGCCUGCUGCUAAUCGCUGAAAGAAAAUUAAGAAUUUAUCAGAGGAAACGACUAAACUGUGCAAACUCUAAACAGAAGAGCAAGGAACGGACCUUUUGAAGAGUGGUUUGGACCAAAAACUACAGUGUCCCUGAGGCAAACAAUGAAGUGAGAGCCAGAAUGCACAAGAAUGUUCUGAAAUACUUGACAUAUUUAAAAAAUAUUUGUAUUUAUUUAUGUUAUUUUGAUGUAUGUGAUCAAACUUCGGAACAUUUUGAGGGACUGGACUUGGAUCGGAGCUUCACAGGGAUGUGUCCCCUCUUGUCUCUGACACAGGUUGAAUUGUGUCUUAAUUUGGUUUGGUUUAUUUGGGCAUUGCACUAGAUGCAUUACAUUAUGCAUUAUCCUGACCAUAGGAACUACUUGCUAAAAGGAGUCCGUUUUAUUAGAUGAUAAAAGGUUUCAUUAAAACACAUUUUUAAUAAGUCACGUAAAUGCAUUAACGGUUCAUGUGUUUGUGUAUUUUACCAUGUACACUUAUAAAAUCAAGGUGCAUCAAGUUAGCAUCAUGUUUGUCACACUCUACAGCUUAUAAUGCAUUUAACGUAUCCCGAACUUAAAUAAUAAAAAGACAACAUUGUAAAUUAGAAUUUGUUCUUAAUAUUUUGCCUGGUAAAAAUAAAAAAUAAGAUUAUCCUGAGAUUGUUGUUUACAAGUCCCAUUUCUAUGUUUAUCAUUAUUGUUACUGUUGUUCUAAUGGUAAAUGGUCAUUAAAAUGGAAACGGGUCUGG